rnacentral:misc_RNA from 1 species
GAUGAAGAACGCAGCGAAAUGCGAUACGUAAUGUGAAUUGCAGAAUUCAGUGAAUCAUCGAGUCUUUGAACGCACAUUGCGCCCUCUGGUAUUCCGGGGGGCAUGCCUGUCCGAGCGUCAUUGCUGCCCUCAAGCACGGCUUGUGUGUUGGUCCCCCCCGUCCCGGUUCUCCAGCCGGGACGGGCCCGAAAGGCAGCGGCGGCACCGUGUCCGGUCCUCGAGUGUAUGGGGCUCUGUCACCCACUCGUGUAGGCCCGGCCGGCGGCCAGCCUCUUUCAACCAAAACUUCUUUAACCAGGUUGACCUCGGAUCAGGUAGGGAUACCCGCUGAACUUAAGCAUAUCAAUAAGCGGAGGA